GGAGCAGCAACGAUGUUACGCAGCAGGGCAGUCGCCCUAAAACAAAGUUAACCUCUGAGGAAGAAUUGUGAA
rnacentral:sRNA from 2 species